rnacentral:rRNA from 1 species
GGAUAACCUACCCUUAGGACCGGGAUAACCCUGGGAAACUGGGGAUAAUACUGGAUAGGCAAUUUUUCCUGUAAUGGUUUUUUGUUUAAAUGUUUUUUCGCCUAAGGAUGGGUCUGCGGCCGAUUAGGUAGUUGGUUAGGUAAUGGCUUACCAAGCCGUUGAUCGGUACGGGUUGUGAGAGCAAGAGCCCGGAGAUGGAACCUGAGACAAGGUUCCAGGCCCUACGGGGUGCAGCAGGCGCGAAACCUCCGCAAUGUGAGAAAUCGCGACGGGGGGAUCCCAAGUGCCAUUCUUAACGGGAUGGCUUUUCAUUAGUGUAAAGAGCUUUUGGAAUAAGAGCUGGGCAAGACCGGUGCCAGCCGCCGCGGUAACACCGGCAGCUCUAGUGGUAGCAAUUUUUAUUGGGCCUAAAGCGUCCGUAGCCGGUUUAAUAAGUCUCUGGUGAAAUCCUGCAGCUUAACUGUGGGAAUUGCUGGAGAUACUAUUAGACUUGAGACCGGGAGAGGUUAGAGGUACUCCCAGGGUAGAGGUGAAAUUCUGUAAUCCUGGGAGGACCGCCUGUUGCGAAGGCGUCUAACUGGAACGGUUCUGACGGUGAGGGACGAAAGUUAGGGGCGCGAACCGGAUUAGAUACCCGGGUAGUCCUAACUGUAAACGAUGCGGACUUGGUGUUGGGGUGGCUUUGAGCUGCUUCAGUGCCGAAGGGAAGCUGUUAAGUCCGCCGCCUGGGAAG